rnacentral:lncRNA from 1 species
UCUUACACUGUGUGUGUGUGUGUGUGUGUGUGUGUGUGUGUGUGUGUGUACAGGUGCAUGUGUGCGUGCUUAUGUCUCAAGAUCAGAAGACAACGUGCAAGAAUCGGCCUUCUCCACUUAGAUCUCAGAGAUCUCAGCGGGCAGAGGGGCUUUAGUGGCAAGCCCCUCUGCCCGCUGGGCCACUCACUAGUCCUUGUCUAACUUUCUCAGAUACACACAGUCCUGGCCUGUCUCUAUCCACAGUACACUGGCACACUGGAGCUUAACACCCGGGACAUGGGCUCUGAAGUUUGGGAAGUCUCAUGAUCAGUAAACAGUCCUGGAAAAUAAAAGCUAUAAUGCAUCCGUUGCCUAACUUCGAAACUCGCCUCAUAUACUGACCAGAGCAGUGGGCUUUGUUUAUAGUGCAGUCUACAUAGCCAUAGAAGAGUACACUAGGCAAAAUGAGAAGCGGGACUCCAGCCAGCUCACCAGAUACACCCUGAGAUGACAGGAUCGACCUGUUCUGGGAAGAUGGGGCAGUACGAGUUUGGUUCUUCUCGAUACCUGACUGUGGGUUUGUGGUUUUUUAUUUGAUUUGAUUUGAUUUGAUUUGAUUUUUUGUAUUUUUUGUAUUUUUGAUAAGUUCGAGCCCCAUUGGUGUCCCCAAAGGAUGAAAACAACAAGCAGCCAGGGCAGGAAGAGGUGACAGUUUUUUGAGGAGAUAAAUAAGCCAAUUAAUGGAGAUGACUUUGCACGGGGCUCUAUCUUUAUAAUCUAAGUGCUUUUUCUUCAUAUGGGCAGUUGUACUUAAUGGACGUGGGGAGGGAGGGGAAGAAAUGGAUGCCUGGUUCCUUUACAAAGAUGGGAGACUCUGCACUGCAGAAGCCGCCUUGUUAUCAGAACCGUGGAGAAUAUGCAAGGGCUCUGAGAGGGGCAGGAUGUGUGUGCAGCCUGCGAGGAGCCCUGACUGUGAUUAAGUUCUCUCUGUAAGUAGUAAAUAGCAGACAGCCCUGAUCAGAAGAGGGAUGCGUGUGAUUCAUCAAUCUGAGCGACUGCUCAUUUGCAGAGGAGCUGGAGGUCAAUCUGGAAGUCUGCGGCCAGAGGAGCGGGAGGAGAUUGCCAGGACUAAGAAGUUAAUCAUACCCCCAGACUGCUUCCAUCUGUCUUGGGGCGACAGAGCCUCUGCACGGAGAGCAGGCAUGCUUUAUAGCACCAGAUCAGGAAUUAAUAUUUUCUGUGGAACCUCAGCAUCAUUUGCAGCAACUCAGGCUUUAUAAAAAUGGAGCAUAAUUUGGUAUGAAUAAAUCACACUCUGUUAGAAAUAUGAGGGGCUGAGGAAAAAAUUCACUUGACU